rnacentral:rRNA from 1 species
UAACCAGACUCCUACGGGAGGCAGCAGUGGGGAAUAUUGCACAAUGGGGGAAACCCUGAUGCAGCAACGCCGCGUGAGUGAAGAAGUAUUUCGGUAUGUAAAGCUCUAUCAGCAGGGAAGAAGAUGACGGUACCUGAUUAAGAAGCCCUGGCUAACUACGUGCCAGCAGCCGCGGUAAUACGUAGGGGGCAAGCGUUAUCCGGAUUCACUGGGUGUAAAGGGAGCGUAGACGGCCAUGCAAGCCUGGAGUGAAAGCCCAGGGCCCAACCCCGGGACUGCUCUGGGAACUGUGCGGCUGGAGUGCGGGAGGGGCAGGCGGAAUUCCUGGUGUAGCGGUGAAAUGCGUAGAUAUUAGGAGGAACACCAGUGGCGAAGGCGGCUUACUGGACUGUAAAUGACGCUGAGGCUCGAAAGCGUGGGGAGCAAACAGGAUUAGAUACCCCUGUAAG